rnacentral:rRNA from 1 species
CAUUUUGGACAAUGGGGUCAACCCUGAUCCAUCUAUCCCGCGUGUGCGAUGAAGGCCUUCGGGUUGUAAAUCACUUUUGGCAGGGAAAAAAAGGAUCUGGCUAAUACCUGGCGCUGCUGACGGUACCUGCAGAAUAAGCACCGGCUAACUCCGUGCCAGCAGCCGCGGUAAUACGUAGGGUGCAAUCGUUAACCGGAAUUACUGGGCGUAAAGCGUGCGCAGGCGGUACGGCAAGAAGGAUGUGAAAUCCCAGGGCUUAACCUUGGAACUGCAUUCUUAACUGCCGGGCUAGAGUAUGUCAGAGGGGGGUAGAAUUCCGCGUGUAGCAGUGAAAUGCGUAGAGAUGCGGAGGAAUACCGAUGGCGAAGGCAGCCCCCUGGGAUAAUACUGACGCUCAUGCACGAAAGCGUGGGGAGCAAAC